GCCCCAUUGUUAAUUAGUGGGAUAAUUGAUUGAACAGAACCUUUGCCAAAUGAAUUUUCACCAAUUAAAAUUGCUCUUUUAUGGUCUUGUAAUGCUCCUGCAACAAUUUCAGAGGCAGAAGCUGAACCAUAAUUAAUUAAAACUAUUAAAGUUUUACCAUCAAUCAUGUCUCCUUUUUUUGCAAACCAUUUUCUAUUUUCUCGUUUCUUUCUACCUUUGGUAGAUACAAUUUCACCGCUAUCUAAAAAAAAAUCUGAUAUUUUAAUCGCUUGAGAUAAAAGUCCGCCAGGAUUAUUUCUUA
rnacentral:ncRNA from 1 species